CAGGCGGCGGCCGGUUGGAGCCCUGCUCGGUCUGCGGCUCUCUGGCCACAGACCCCGGUUGGACUGAGGAGUGGCGCAGCGGGAGGGAGAGUCUGGGCACUAUACCGACAGCCAGCAAGCUGAGCGUCCACGGAGCCCGGAUCGACCCGGCUUCCUCCCCGCCUCUCCCAGUGGCCUCGGACAGGAUCCAUCACCUCUGCAGGUCGGGUUUUCCCCGGGUCUAAAGAGAACGCCACAGAUGCGAACGCAGAGGCACAUAAGAAAGUCUUCUAGACUUAUAUGCAGAAAGCACUCUAAACAACUGAAGAAUGAAGCUGACUUCAUAAGUCAUUUUGAAAUGAAUCUUCCAAUUGACCGAUAUGACUGGGAAAGCCAACAAGGAAGCAGUGAGGAGGACCCUUCUCUUCAGACGGAAAGAUGCUUGAUGGAAGAGGCUGCUCAAGAGUCUGUCGGCUGGGAUGGUUAGAUAGAAAGCCUAUUCCCACCUCAUAGGGUGUGAAAUGAAACAGGGGUUGAAAACUGGCAGCCACAGGGCUGUGGAGAUUGGUUUGGCACUAGCUGUAUUUUAAAAAAUUAAUUAAUUGCCAACAUUUUAAAAUGGAUAUUUCAUACCAAAAAUCCAAAUUUCUGCCUUAUGAACAAAUGGAGAGAUGUGGACACACUGGGUCUCCCAUAGCAACAGUCAAUUAGAGGCAACAGCAGCAGCAGGCAUCCAUUUAGAUGAGGAAUCUGCUCCCCACUUUUCUGCAUCCCCUACGGGGUCAGCUUGUCAUCUCAUCACCCCCCCAGCUUUUGUAAACACUAAGUCUGAUAAACCCUGAGUUAAUAACAACUCUAAGACAGUGAUGAUGAGUUCAUCGCAGUUUGUACAAAUAUCAGGUGCAAAGUACUUUCGCAGUGCUAGGGACAUAGAGAAUAAAACAUGAGGGCUGGGCAUAUAGCUCAGUUGGUAGAGUGCUUGCCUUGCAUGCACAAGGGCCUGGGUUCUAUCCCCAGCACCAAAAAAGAAAAAAGAAAAAAAAAAAAAAAAAGAUAGGACUGGGCUGGGGUUGUGGCUCAGUUGUAAAGCACUUGCCUAGCAUGCAUGAGGCACUGGGUUCUAUCCCCAGCACCACAUAAAAAUAAAACAAAAUAAAGGUAUUCUGUCCAUCUACAACUAAAAAAAAAAAAAAAAGAAUAAGACAUGAUCUCUGAACCCAAGGAAUUCAGACCACUGGAAAGGAGAAAGUACAUUGGUUAUUAUUAUACAUGACAGCAUGUGUAUUGUGAAGGUAAAGACAUGGUGGAGAUUGAAGUGAGUAAACCUGUAUUCUAGUUUUUUGAGAUGAUACUUAGCUCACUCACAUCCAGUCUUUCUCCUUUUUAUUUAUUUCCUUUUUUAAAAUUUUUUUUAGUUGUAGAUGGACACAAUACCUUUUUGUUUAUUUAUUUACUUAUAUUUAUGUGGUGUGUAGGAUGGAACCCAGGGCCUCACACAUGCCAGGCAAGCGCUCUGCCACUGAGCCACAACCCAAGCCUGUAGUCUUUCUCCUUUUCUAAUAUAUGGAUUUAAAGAUAUCAGUUCCCUUCUAAGUAUGGCCUGAGCUUUAUCUCACAAGUUGCAACAUGUACUUAUUACCAUUCAUUGAAAAAUAUUUUUCUGAUAUCUAUCUAUGGUUUCUUCUUUGACCUGUGAUUUUAAAGUGUAUUUCUUAAUUUCAAAACAUAUGGAAUGCUGUAAUUCUCAAAUUUAUCUCCACCUUAAUUGCCUUAGACAAACAUACUCUAUUUUAAUCCUUUGAAAUUUGUCGAGAUUUGCUUUAUGAACUAACAUAUGGUCAGAUGUGUAAACAUUCAACAUGAACUUGAAAAGAAUACAUGUUCUUCAGUGGGCAGGUGCAAUGUGCCUUAUGUAUACACUAGACCAAGUUUGUUGAUUUAGCCCUUCAAAUAUUCUAUAUCCUUAAUGAUUUCUAAAAUCUCAGUUCUAUCAAUAACUAAGAGGUAUGUAAAAAAUCUUGUUGAUUGUGGAUUUGUCCAUUUCUCCUUGUGGUCCUAACAAUUUUUAUGUACUUGUUGUUAAAACAUAACAUACAUGAAAGUACAUGAGACUCACAUAUGUGGUUCAGUGAAGUUUUAUAUGUACACAAACACAUAACCCAAGUCAGAUAGACACUUAUAGCACCAGUCUUACUCAUACAAAGACAAUAUGCUUCUUUCUUCCCCAGUACCACUUUCACCUGUUCUUGAAAAGCAUAAAAUACAAUCAUGGUACAUAUUCCAUUGUGUCUGACUUCUUUUGCUUAACAUGCCUAUGAGCUUCCUUCAUGUUGUUAAAUAAAGUAGUUAUUUGUUC